rnacentral:rRNA from 1 species
UACGGAGGAUGCAAGCGUUAUCCGGAAUCAUUGGGUUUAAAGGGUCCGUAGGCGGUCAGAUAAGUCAGUGGUGAAAGCCCAUCGCUCAACGAUGGAACGGCCAUUGAUACUGUUUGACUUGAAUUAUUAGGAAGUAACUAGAAUAUGUAGUGUAGCGGUGAAAUGCUUAGAGAUUACAUGGAAUACCAAUUGCGAAGGCAGGUUACUACUAAUAUAUUGACGCUGAUGGACGAAAGCGUGGGGAGCGAACAGG